AAGUCGUAACAAGGUAUCCGUAGGUGAACCUGCGGAUGGAUCAUUAACAAGUGUCACGAACGUGAACACACCCUUGUGGUCUUUGACAUGUUUUUGGCGCCGGAUCGCGUGCGCCGCCUGGCUGCUGCAGCCGGGCCGCGCGUGAGAAGGCGCCGACCUCUAUCAACCCUAGCAAUGCAAUGUUUAUUGUUGGAUGCACCUAUAUGCAAUCUACCUAUACAACUGCUAGCAACGGAUCACUCGGCUCUC
rnacentral:misc_RNA from 1 species